rnacentral:tRNA from 1 species
GCAGUGGUGGUUCAGUGGCAGAAUUCUUACUUUCCAUAUGGGAAACCUGGGUUCAAUUCCCGACCAAUGUA